rnacentral:tRNA from 1 species
GGAGAGGUGGGUGAGUGGCUGAAACCAGCAGUUUGCUAAACUGUCGUACAUGUCAAAGUGUACCGGGGGUUCGAAUCCCCCCCUCUCCGCCA